CAGCCGCCACGGGAAUACGUAGGGUGCGAGCGUUAAUCGGAAUUACUGGGCGUAAAGCGUGCGCAGGCGGUUUGUUAAGACAGAUGUGAAAUCCCCGGGCUCAACCUGGGAACUGCAUUUGUGACUGGCAAGCUAGAGUGUGGCAGAGGGGGGUGGAAUUCCGCGUGUAGCAGUGAAAUGCGUAGAGAUCGGAAGGAACAUCUGUGGCGAAGGCGACUAUCUGGGCCAACACUGACACUGAGGCACGAAAGCGUGGGGAGCAAACAGGAUUAGAUACCCCAGUAGUCCCUGUCUCUUAUAC
rnacentral:rRNA from 1 species